rnacentral:rRNA from 1 species
UACGUAGGGUGCAAGCGUUGUCCGGAAUUAUUGGGCGUAAAGAGCUCGUAGGCGGUUUGUCGCGUCUGCUGUGAAAUCCCAGGGCUUAACCCUGGGCCUGCAGUGGGUACGGGCAAACUAGAGUGCGGUAGGGGAGAUCGGAAUUCCUGGUGUAGCGGUGAAAUGCGUAGAUAUCGGGAGGAACACCAGAGGCGAAGGCGGGUUACUGGGCUGAUACUGACGCUGAUGCGCGAAAGCUAGGGUAGCAAACGGG